AGGUGGUUCCACUACAAAAACAUGUAUUUCCCCCAUUCCGAGAUCCACUGAACAUCAUGAGAUGCCUCACACUCCAAAACCCUAAUUUCGCUCUCUACCCUACCCCCGCUUUUGUAACCCCUCACUCUGUAAUCCCUACCUCAACAAGGCUCUCAUCCACUGAACACCAUUCUACAUCAACAAUCCUUUCUCCUCCUCCUUCUGCAUAUCAUUCUCUCUCUAUAAUCCUUUCUUCUAGGAGGCUCCCUCGCCAUAUUCCCACUGCUCAACCACUGAAUGCGCUUUUCGUCCUCUCUCGCAACUCUCCGGCCUCAACAGGGGAUUACUCGACCUUCAUCCCACUUAGGGCCCAACGGAUACUUAGUUGAUGGUGGCAUUUCCAAAAAUGCGUUACAGAUUCGGAACAUUCGAUCUGCAUUCGGAAUUGGCCAGGACUGGUCUGGUUCCGACCAAUUAGUACGAUCAGGUCUGGUUGAGAGGAAGAACUCUUCCGAAAAUCAAGUCCUAUUAAAACUUGCGAGUGCUCGCAAUUUAUGAAGCAUGGUAAAAGCCCGGAAUCAAAACCGGUAUUCGCUGAUACUGUGCAGGCCUCCUGUUUCUCUAUUGGGUAACCAAUUUUGUGGUGCCAAACCUCGUUAUGCCCCAGGCCAAUACCAAUCAAACCCAAGAGGACUCGCCCCCACCUGUACAAGAAUCAUCCCAAGAUAAUAGUGCACCAACCUCCUCACAAACUAUCAAAACGACAUCAAACAAGAGUAGAUCGAAGAAACGUCGUAGCAAGAGCUCAAAGAGAUCAGAAUUGAUGAUUGAAACACAAUUUCCCAAGUUUAAAUCCCACCAUUAAACUACCCAAAGAAAAAGAGCUGAAUGAGAUGAUGACAUUGAUUUUUGGGCUCCAGUGGGGCAUUGCACAAGAAGAGGGUGACUCAACUUGUGUAAUUUGUUUGAAAGAUAUAUAAAUGAGAGAAGGGGAAUGGUUAGCAACUAAGUAGUAUUACUUUUUA